GGCUACCUGCGGGCAGCGAGCCGGGGUAAUACGUAGGGGGAAAGCGUUGUCCGGAUUUAUUGGGCGUAGAGCGAGCGCAGGCGGUUUCUUAAGUCUGAUGUGAAAGCCCACGGCUCAACCGUGGAAGGUCAUUGGAAACUGGGGAACUGGAGUGCAGAAGAGGAGAGUGGAAUUCCAUGUGUAGCGGUGAAAUGCGUAGAUAUAUGGAGGAACACCAGUGGCGAAGGCGACUCUCUGGUCUGUAACUGACGCUGAGGCUCGAAAGCGUGGGGAGCAAACAGGAUUAGAUACCCGGUAGUC
rnacentral:rRNA from 1 species